UACGGAGGGGACUAGCGUUGUUCGGAAUUAUUGGGCGUAAAGGGUGCGUAGGCGGGUCUUUUAAGUCAGGGGUGAAAUCCUGGAGCUCAACUCCAGAACUGCCUUUGAUACUGAAGAUCUUGAGUUCGGGAGAGGUGAGUGGAACUGCGAGUGUAGAGGUGAAAUUGUAGAUAUUCGCAAGAACACCAGUGGCGAAGGCGGCUCACUGGCCCGAUACUGACGCUGAGGCACGAAAGCGUGGGGAGCAAACAGGG
rnacentral:rRNA from 1 species